GGUUCUGAUCAAGGAAGCCAAGUGUUGUAGGUAGAAAAUUAAUUACCUGUUAAUUAUCUGAGAGCUUCCUGUGUGCACACAGCAUUGUGCCAGGCAUUUCAGGUUUCUAAAGAAAUAUCAAAAGUGACCUCUAAUAAAAGCCUACCAAGAAAGGUGAGAUUGAGAAGACUUCUUCUGGAAGCAAGCUUUGAAUUGAGUUUUGAGGAGUGAGUGGACUUGAAAUGGAAGGCAGAAUAAUCAGCUGAGGGUGGGGGGAGCUGUGAGGCUGCAGGCCUGCAGGCACAGAGGCAGAGUGAUGUGAUUUAAAGGAGGUCCUUGCAAACCAGGCAGAGACCCACUUCAGGAAGGUCAUCUGGAGGCUGCAUAACGGUAACUAAGCCAAGAGGGGAAGCAGGAGGGCAAUGACACAAAACCGGUAACAACAGAAGGGCACGAACCAUCUGGAUGUACUUCAUUGGUGGUGGUGGGAAGCAAUCUUGGA